UACAGAGGGGGCAAGCGUUGUUCGGAAUUACUGGGCGUAAAGGGCGCGUAGGCGGCCUUCUAAGUCGAACGUGAAAUCCCCGGGCUCAACCCGGGAACUGCGUCCGAUACUGGAAGGCUUGAAUCCGGGAGAGGGAUGCGGAAUUCCGAGGUGUAGCGGUGAAAUGCGUAGAUAAUCUGGAGGAACACCGGUGGCGAAGGCGGCGAGUCC
rnacentral:rRNA from 1 species